GGAGAGGUGCCGGAGUGGACGAACGGGGCGGUCUCGAAAACCGUUGUGGUCCUUGCGGGCCACCGUGGGUUCGAAUCCCACCCUCUCCGCCA
rnacentral:tRNA from 3 species